UACGUAGGGUGCAAGCGUUGUCCGGAAUUAUUGGGCGUAAAGAGCUCGUAGGCGGUCUGUCGCGUCUGCUGUGAAAACUCGGGGCUUAACCCCGGGCCUGCAGUGGGUACGGGCAGACUAGAGUGCGGUAGGGGAGACUGGAAUUCCUGGUGUAGCGGUGAAAUGCGCAGAUAUCUGGAGGAACACCGGUGGCGAAGGCGGCAUCCUGGACCGGCAUUGACGCUGAGGAGCGAAAGCCAGGGGAGCAAACGGG
rnacentral:rRNA from 1 species